rnacentral:snRNA from 1 species
AUACUUACCUGGCGUAGAAGUAUUGCUGAUCAAGAAGGGCAAUCUUCCUAUCUGAGGCCUAGUCAUUGCACUACGAUUGGGCUGACGGUGGCGAUUGAGUCUUAUGCAUUCAACUCGUGCGUAAUAUUUUUGAUAGCCGGGAUAAGCGUUCGCGCUAUCCCGAA